UGCAAACCUCCAUAGCCACCUGAUCACACUCAGUGUAGCACAAAGGGACUCCUUCUCUAACGUGAGGGUAAAUACUCAGUUUAGUGAUCCCCCUGUUGUUGCACCUGCACUAGAAAACUCUAACGUAUUAUCUGAAGGCCAAAUUAAUGACUCUAUCCUGAGAAUUGAGAGGAAACGCAAGGUGAAGAAGCGAGAAUCGCUAAAGAAGUUGAAGGUCAUGAGUU